AUACGGAGGAUGCGAGCGUUAUCCGGAUUUAUUGGGUUUAAAGGGUGCGUAGGCUGUGCGUUAAGUCAGGGGUGAAAUGCCGUCGCUCAACGACGAAGUUGCCCUUGAUACUGGCGUGCUGGAGUACGGAUGCCGUUGGAGGAAUGAGUGGUGUAGCGGUGAAAUGCUUAGAUAUCACUCAGAACACCGAUUGCGAAGGCAUCUGACGAAUCCGUCACUGACGCUGAGGCACGAAAGCGUGGGGAUAGAACAGGAUUAGAUACCCUGGUAUUCCACGCCGUAAACGAUGAUGACUAACCGUCGGCGAUAGACAGCCGGUGGCCAAGCGAAAGCGAUAAGUCAUCCACCUGGGGAGUACGUCGGCAACGAUGAAACUCAAAUGAAUUGGCGGGG
rnacentral:rRNA from 1 species